GACGUCGAUAUUCGACGUCAUAAACACGAGCAACUUCGGUGUUUCUGACGUCGAUAUUCGACGUCAUAAACACGAGCAACUUUGGUGUUUAUGACGUCGAUAUUCGACGUCAUAAACACGAGCAACUUUGGUGUUUAUGACGUCGAUAUUCGACGUCAUAAACACGAGCAACUUUGCUGUUUAUGACGUCGAUAUUCGACGUCAUAAACACGAGCAACUGCGGUGUUUAUGACGUCGACAUUCGACGUC